GCAACCUUACCAAGUUACUUCAUGAACUAAGUCACAGAACAAACAACAAGCAACCUUAAUAGGCAAUAUUCGAGCAGGAAUGUAGCCUACGUCACAUGAUUGCAGAAAAAAGAGAUUGAUCCCUUCCCAACAAAAAAAGGAAUAACUGACCACAGUCAAAGACAAGGAUUAAACAACAAUCUUUGACCGAAGACGGCUUUUUCCGAAUGAAGAAGGUUAAAACUUGGUAAAUCUGCACAUGGACAUAAAUUAAAAAUUGUCAAGAUAACGAGACCACCCUUCAUCGUCUUUCCAAAUGAAGAAAGUUAAAAAUUCUGAAAAUAGAACAAAGAAACUUACAUGUUUGGGGAGCGAGAUGGAGAAGGAUGGCGGAAUGUAACCGUCUUCGAAAACGUGAAAGUUCGACGGAGAUGGCAAUUAACGAAAUAAUGAUCCCAGCAACAAUCGUAUCUUCGUUGUAGUGCCACCUGCCUAGGAAAAUUGUCGCCGGAAUCGAAUCUUUGUUCGAAUGGUUGAGAGCUUCACUUUCCUUAUGUGAGUGUAUUCUCCAAUUA
rnacentral:lncRNA from 1 species